CAGCCUGGCGCGGGAGCGAGCGCCCGCGAUACUGGGCUGGCCAGAGAAGCGCGUGAACGCGCAGUUUUCAAGAGAGGCGCCGAAGUGGGAAAAGUGGCCUUAAGAGAUAAACAGAUCCGUGCGCUGUGACAAGGGAUGGUGACCAAUGGAAAAAAAGAAAUCCCCUCCUCCUGCUGCCUUCAGGCCCCCACAGCCAACUGAGUGUUAAAAACUCAACAGAUAUGAAAACACAUACAUUGUUUCCUCCUUCUUACUGCCCAGGUCCUGGGCACUGAGGCCAAGGACUUUCCAGGGCUGGAGGAGAGUGAGUAUGAAUGAAUGAUGGAUAAAAGGAAACGGAAGGAUGACUCUGAUUUUCUUCUUUUGCCAUGUGCAGAGUCACUUUCUCCUUCUCCAAUUAAAUAAAUACAAUGAAGCGGCAUUGUUUCAUCCUUUGUUGCCCCAGGCCUUCUCUAUGAGUGCCAUGCUUGUCUGAGUAAUUUGAAGAAUACGAGCUUGUAAAAUUACAAAAAAUAUUUUGGUAUCGCAGUCGCACCCGACUCAGAAGUGUCUUAAUGCAAGAAAAAAAAGACACUUCUGUAUUUUUUGGACUGCUUUUUAUGUUGUAAGCAAAGAACAUUUCAUCACAGUGGGAGCCGGGUUCAAUGCGAGAGUGAGGCAGAGACAAGGAGAUGUGAGUCAGGGUCGGCCGGCAAAAGAAAAGCAGUGAAGUUUGGACUGACUCA